rnacentral:rRNA from 1 species
GAUGAACGCUGGCGGCGUGCCUAAUACAUGCAAGUCGAACGAAACUUCUUUAUCACCGAGUGCUUGCACUCACCGAUAAAGAGUUGAGUGGCGAACGGGUGAGUAACACGUGGGCAACCUGCCCAAAAGAGGGGGAUAACACUUGGAAACAGGUGCUAAUACCGCAUAACCAUAGUUACCGCAUGGUAACUAUGUAAAGGGUGGCUAUACUACCGCUUUUGGAUGGGCCCGCGGCGCAUUAGCUAGUUGGUAGGGUAAAGGCUUACCAAGGCAAUGAUGCGUAGCCGAAUUGAGAGGUUGAUCGGCCACAUUGGGACUGAGACACGGCCCAAACUCCUACGGGAGGCAGCAGUAGGGAAUCUUCCACAAUGGGCGAAAGCCUGAUGGAGCAACGCCGCGUGGGUGAAGAAGGUCUUCGGAUCGUAAAACCCUGUUGUUAGAGAAGAAAGUGCGUGAGAGUAACUGUUCACGUUUCGACGGUAUCUAACCAGAAAGCCACUGCUAACUACGUG